rnacentral:rRNA from 1 species
GAUAACUACUGGAAACGGUAGCUAAUACCGCAUAACGUCGCAAGACCAAAGAGGGGGACCUUCGGGCCUCUUGCCAUCGGAUGUGCCCAGAUGGGAUUAGCUAGUAGGUGGGGUAAAGGCUCACCUAGGCGACGAUCCCUAGCUGGUCUGAGAGGAUGACCAGCCACACUGGAACUGAGACACGGUCCAGACUCCUACGGGAGGCAGCAGUGGGGAAUAUUGCACAAUGGGCGCAAGCCUGAUGCAGCCAUGCCGCGUGUAUGAAGAAGGCCUUCGGGUUGUAAAGUACUUUCAGCGGGGAGGAAGGGAGUAAAGUUAAUACCUUUGCUCAUUGACGUUACCCGCAGAAGAAGCACCGGCUAACUCCGUGCCAGCAGCCGCGGUAAUACGGAGGGUGCAAGCGUUAAUCGGAAUUACUGGGCGUAAAGCGCACGCAGGCGGUUUGUUAAGUCAGAUGUGAAAUCCCCGGGCUCAACCUGGGAAUUGCAUCUGAUACUGGCAAGCUUGAGUCUCGUAGAGGGGGGUAGA